rnacentral:misc_RNA from 1 species
GAUGAAGAAUGUAGCGAAAUGCGAUAAGUAAUGUGAAUUGCAGAAUUCAGUGAAUCAUCGAAUCUUUGAACGCACCUUGCGCUCCUUGGUAUUCCGAGGAGCAUGCCUGUUUGAGUGUCAUGAAAUUCUCAACCUUUUCAGCUUUCUUUGUUGAUCAGGCUUGGAUGUGGGAGUAUGCGGGCUUCUCAGAAGUCGGCUCUCCUGAAAUGCAUUAGCGGGACCUUUGUUGCCUGGCUUUGGUGUGAUAAUUAUCUACGCCAUUGUAGUCAAGCAGCUUAAAAUGAGGUUUCAGCUUCUAACCGUCUCCCCUGAGACAACUUUUUGACAAUUUGACCUCAAAUCAGGUAGGACUACCCGCUGAACUUAAGCAUAUCAAUAAGCGGAGGA